rnacentral:tRNA from 1 species
GGUGAAGGGAGCUAGGCGGUUUAGCAUUAGUUUGUGAUUCUAAAAUUCAUGGGUUCAAAUCCCAUUCUUCGCC